CAGGAGGAGAUCAUGGCUCUGCUUCUGGGCACAGAAUACAUCCCUUUCCGGUUGCCCUCCUGAAUCAGGACACCAGGCAUGUGAGGGCUGUAGGUAGUCUGUCAUCCACAGGAAUGGGGCCACGAGACACACUAACUUAGAAAAGGAAGAAAGUGGCCCAAAAAGAGAAACCAGAAAGGAAGUAACUAAGUGAAUGUAAUCCAGAACUGGAAAAAGUGAAAAUGACUUCCGAGUGUAAAAGGAACAGAUAUGAUAUUCACUUCCCGACUCACGCAACAUUCUAUUUACCAGUCGUCCUCACCCGCUCUGCUCUUCCAGCUUCCCUGGGGAGCUGCGUGCUUCUCGUCUGCGGCAGAAGAUAAGGCUGGGGGCCAGGUGAGAGAAGGAGCUUCUGGGACAGGGUGGCUUUGCCCUUCCCCCCAGAACAGAGAGAAGCAGGAAAGCUGACCAGGAGUUUGGAGGUGGACAGGAGGCUGCUUGGGAGGCUUCUGCUACAGCACGGAUGCAAGGACUCCUCCAACAACCCCACAAGGAAGGGAACACAGGCCUUCAUCACUGGAAAAAAAGAGAGAGAGAGAGAGAGA